rnacentral:rRNA from 1 species
UACGUAGGCAGCAAGCGUUGUUCGGAAUUACUGGGCGUAAAGAGUGUGUAGGCGGUGCUCUAAGUUUGGUGUGAAAUCUCCCGGCUCAACUGGGAGGGUGCAUCGAAAACUGGAGUGCUCGAGGGUGGGAGAGGUAAGCGGAAUUCCUGGUGUAGUGGUGAAAUGCGUAGAUAUCGGGAGGAACACCAGUGGCGAAGGCGGCUUCCUGGCCUGUUCUUGACGCUGAGGCGCGAAAGCUAGGGGAGCAAACGGG